AUGAGCUUCGGAACCUUCUGCCUCCACUGUCUAAAUGCUGGGGCUAGAGGAAUACAAUUUAUGCAGUGGGGAAGAUGAACCCAAGGCUUCAUGUGUGCUAGUCAGGACUCGUUCUUGAGAAGAGCAGCUUUGGAAGAGACAGCCAAAAAGUGAUACAGGGCACGAAGAGCGGGAUACGUCUGAUGAGGACAUUGACAGUCAUCCACACACAAGGGAAAGAGGUGCCAGGAUGACAGGUGAGAGCCACUAAGCUCCGCUUACGCCAUGCUGUGGAUGGAGCCUCCAGCUUCAUGCGUGUUAGGAAGCCCUCUACCGACUAAGCUACAUCCCACGCUCAUCAUUCCGUUUUGUUCUUGAACAAAAGUAAACAUUACCUUCCAGUUCUCCCACCUAUGAAGAUCGACGUUCA
rnacentral:lncRNA from 1 species